CGGCCUUUUCCUGUUGGAGGCUAAUGCACAUUUCCUUGACAGUAUCAUUGAAUCUCUUUCUGCUGGUGCACACAGUCGUAUUAGAACUGUGACUCUGAUUAGGGCUCUUCUGGAGGACUUCUUAGCCUGUGAACUUCCAAGGAGUAUGAUUAGUGAGGGUUGCACAGUUACCAAAUAUCCAUACAAGGCAUAGCAAGAGGCUUAUACUGCUAUCACUCCAUUCAGAGCAACAAGAUGAAGAA